GCUGUGUCGGGUGGAUCACGAUGCAAAUUUUGAUAAGUUUAAUAGGAGAAAAAAUUGCACGGUAUCCAUCUGUAAACCGCA
rfam:Monodelphis domestica chromosome X, whole genome shotgun sequence.